ACCCACUUGAUUAAAAUUGAUUUUGACAAUUUAACUCAGAUUGUUGAUCCUAAAGAGAAAAAUUGUUAUCGACUUAGCGUUAACUUAGUUAGCAAAAGCUAUUAUUUUUAGCUUUUUUAUCUCCAUCAAGUAUUUGAUAUAAUUCCUUUUCUUAAUGAAUAUUUCUAAAAGUUAUGGCUAAGAUUGCUAUUUGAACAAUGAAAAGAAA
rnacentral:lncRNA from 1 species